AAAGAAGUAACCCUAUGCCACCUGCGAGUUCCUCGACUGCCUCCGCCUUCAAGACUCGACCAGCCAGGCAGCGACCAGGUGACGGCAAGAAGCUUCUUCUCUUCUUCUUCUGUUCCGGCGUUCCCUUUUCUCUUUCACGGCAGGCAGGCAGGCAGCUUCUUCUCUUCUUCGACCCUUUUUUCAAAUUUCAACCGGUAGCAGAUUGUUUACUUGUUCUGAAAUAUUUAUAAAAAGAAAUAUAUACCUGUGUAGUGCAUUGAAUUGAUUCAAUUGAAUUUGUGAAGCUCGUUGCUGUAAGUUUGACCUUUUUGUUUAAAUUAAGUUACAUUAGAUGUUUCAAUAUAUGUAUUUUUUUCAUUUUGGAGUAUGACAUAUAUAAGAAUUUUGUAAUUAGAAAUUAGAACCCUAGUUGAGUUGAAUUUUGUUAUGAUGGAAGAAAGGAGGGGGGAAAUCAGUUGAAUUGGAGAAGGCAGAACCAAUUUUCGGAAAUUUCAUCUCUGAAUUCCCUGUCUCCUCCUUUUCUGUUUUUCUGCUUAAUUGUUUCUUCUCUGUAAUUGCAUUCUGAAAUUCUAAUUGAAAAUUUGGGUUUUGAGAAUUUCCAUUGGAAUCUAUU
rnacentral:lncRNA from 1 species